rnacentral:rRNA from 1 species
UACGAAGGGGGCGAGCGUUGUUCGGAGUUACUGGGCGUAAAGGGCGCGUAGGCGGCGAUCCAAGUUAGGCGUGAAAGCCCCGGGCUUAACCUGGGAAUUGCGCUUAAGACUGGACUGCUUGAGUGCGGGAGAGGUGAGUGGAAUUCCCAGUGUAGAGGUGAAAUUCGUAGAUAUUCGCAAGAACACCAGUGGCGAAGGCGGCUCACUGGCCCGAUACUGGCGCUGAGGCACGAAAGCGUGGGGAGCAAACAGG